rnacentral:rRNA from 1 species
AUUGAACGCUGGCGGCAGGCCUAACACAUGCCAGUCGAGCGGAUGAAGGGAGCUUGCUCCUGGAUUCAGCGGCGGACGGGUGGGUAAUGCCUAUGAAUCUGCCUUGUAUUGGGGGAUAACGUCCUGAAACGGGCGCUAAUACCCCAUCCGUCCUUAUGUAGAAAGUGGGUGAUCUUCGGACCUCUCGCUUUCUUAUGAGCCUAGGUCGGAUUAGCUAGUUGGUUGGGUAAAGGCCUACCAAGGCGACGAUCCGUAACUGUUCUGAGAGGAUGAUCAGUCACACUGGAACUGAGACACGGUCCAGACUCCUACGGGAGGAAGCAGUGGGGAAUAUUGGACAAUGGGCGAAAGCAUGAUACAGCCAUGCCGCGUGUGUGAAGAAGGUCUUCGGAUUGGAAAGCACUUUAAGUUGGGAGGAAGGGCAGUAAGUUAAUACCUUGCUGUUUUGACGUUACCAACAGAAUAAGCACCGGCUAACUUCGUG